UACAGAGGGUGCGAGCGUUAAUCGGAAUUACUGGGCGUAAAGCGUGCGUAGACGGCUAUCUAAGUCGGGUGUGAAAGCCCCGGGCUCAACCUGGGAAUUGCAUUCGAGACUGAAUAGCUAGGGUACGGUAGAGGGAAGCGGAAUUUCCGGUGUAGCGGUGAAAUGCGUAGAUAUCUGGAGGAACACCGGUGGCGAAGGCGGCAUCCUGGACCGGCAUUGACGCUGAGGCGCGAAAGCCAGGGGAGCAAACGGG
rnacentral:rRNA from 1 species